CACGUAGGGUGCGAGCGUUGUCCGGAAUUAUUGGGCGUAAAGAGCUCGUAGGCGGUGUGUCGCGUCGGCCGUGAAAACCUGCAGCUUAACUGUGGGCUUGCGGUCGAUACGGGCAUCACUGGAGUUCGGCAGGGGAGACUGGAAUUCCUGGUGUAGCGGUGAAAUGCGCAGAUAUCAGGAGGAACACCGGUGGCGAAGGCGGGUCUCUGGGCCGACACUGACGCUGAGGAGCGAAAGCGUGGGGAGCGAACAGG
rnacentral:rRNA from 1 species